rnacentral:snoRNA from 1 species
UCCCUCUUUGACGAUGAUAUUGUAUCAUAUAUUCUGACUAGUUUUGACCUUGAUUAUAACCCUGUCAUUUCAGCAGUAGU